rnacentral:rRNA from 1 species
GGAAGUAAAAGUCGUAACAAGGUUUCCGUAGGUGAACCUGCGGAAGGAUCAUUACUGAUUUAGCGAACCGAGCAUUAGCGAGGUUUUGCGGUCAAUUUAUAUUUAAAACCCACUCUUUAAUGUAUAAAAUUUGUAUUAAUGAUAAAUUAAAAGAUCACUUUCAACAACGGAUCUCUUGGCUCUCGCAUCGAUGAAGAACGUAGCGAAGUGCGAUAAGUAAUGUGAAUUGCAGAAUUCCGUGAAUCAUCGAAUCUUUGAACGCAAAUUGCACUUUCUGGUAUUCCGGAGAGUAUGCCUGUUUGAGGGUCAGUGUAAUAAAUAAUCGUGGUCGUUUGCCACCUUUUCGUGGUGACGCUUCGGAAUUGAGUCGUCUUUACCCUUCGGUUAAGUGACUUAAAAUUUUUGCAUGAUUUUCGAACGUAUUUAAAUCGCUUACGUACGUUUGAGAUAUCGAAUGCUUAUUAGGUUCGGUCAUCCUCAUGACUCGCGCCUAUAAUUUUUCAUUAAAUGACCUCAAAUCAGGUAAGAAUACCCGCUGAACUUAAGCAUAUCAAUAAGCGGAGGA